UACGGAGGGUGCUAGCGUUAUCCGGAAUCACUGGGUUUAAAGGGUGCGUAGGCGGUCUGAUAAGUCAGAUGUGAAAUUCCCUCGCUUAACCAGUGAGACUGCUAUUGAUACUGUUGGACUUGAAUCAGGAUAAGGUAGGCGAAUUGUGGGAUGUAACGUGGAAAUGCAUAAAUAUGCCAUAAAACACCAAUUGCAAAGGCCCCUUGCUGGGCUUUGAUUGACGCUGAAGCACGAAAGCGGGGGAAGCAAACAGGAUUAAAUACCCGGGAAGCCCACGCCCUAAACGAUGUUUACUUGCUGUUCCUGUCUUGAAUGGUGGUGGGGAAGCGAAAGCGAUAAGUAAGCCCCCUCGGGAGAACGCCGGCGACGAUGAAACUCAAAGGAAUUGACGGGGGUCCGCACAAGCGGUGGAGCAUGUGGUUUAAUUCCAUGAUACGCGAGGAACCUUACCUGGCCUAGAAUGUGUAGUGAAGUGAUGUGACAGGUGAUCGUCCUUCGGGACGCUAUACAACAUGCUGCACGGCUGUCGUCACAUCGUGUCGUGAGAGAUUGGGGUAAGUCUCGCACCGAGCGCACCCCUCGUGUUCAGUUGCCACCGCUUCGACCGGGACCUCUGAACAGACUGCCCCCGUAAGGUGUGAGGAAGGUGGGGACGACGUCAAGUCAUCAUGGCCUUUAUGCCCAGGGCUACCCCCGUGCUACAAUGGUAGGGCCAGAGGGCAAGUACCGCCCGAGCAGAUAGGAAUUUCCGAAAACCUAUCCCAAUUUGGAAUGGAGUUUGCAACCUGGCUUCAUGAAGGGGGAAUCCCUUGUAAUCGCGCAUCAACCAUGGCGCGGUGAAUACGUUCCCGGACCU
rnacentral:rRNA from 1 species